AACGAACGCUGGCGGCAGGCUUAACACAUGCAAGUCGAACGCCCCGCAAGGGGAGUGGCAGACGGGUGAGUAACGCGUGGGAACGUGCCCUUCGCUUCGGAAUAGCCCCGGGAAACUGGGAGUAAUACCGAAUACGCCGUAUUGGGAAAGAUUUAUCGGCGAAGGAUCGGCCCGCGUUAGAUUAGCUAGUUGGCGGUGUAAUGGACCACCAAGGCUACGAUCUAUAGCUGGUCUGAGAGGAUGGUCAGCCACACUGGGACGGAGACACGGCCCAGACUCUUACGGGAGGCAGCAGUGGGGAAUCUUGGACAAUGGGCGCAAGCCUGAUCCAGCCAUGCCGCGUGAGUGAAGAAGGCCUUAGGGCUGUAAAACUCUUUCGCCGGAGAAGAUAAUGACGGUAUCCGGAGAAGAAGCCCCGGCUAACUUCGUGCCAGCCGCCGCCGUAA
rnacentral:rRNA from 1 species